rnacentral:rRNA from 1 species
AUGUUUGUUAGGCAUAAAGAGAAAGAUAAUUUUCAUGUGAGGCUGCAAGUUGAUGUGCUUGAGCAGGCAUUUGGACCUAGGAUGACGGGUGCAACAUCUCGGGGAGAACCAAGUCGUCGUAAUGGCAUCUCUAGCCAGAACAGUUCAGUUGGUGCACGGCGACGUGGUGGCUCGACAAGUGUGGGCAACAGCAUUAGGGUCCCCCUUGAAGUGGAGCCUGAUGACUACAAUUCUGGGGUUGAUGAAGAGAAGUUAUAUUCUGAUGUUAUUCGGAAUUUACGACAGGCACCUCGGACUGAAAACCAAGAUGAGGCUCACAAUGCAGUCCAUGUGGAUGAUGACGCGGUGGGUGAGGACGAAGACCUUGCAGCUGUUGAAUGGGGCCCUUUGAACCCUCAUAUGGAAGAAGGUACAGUUUUUGCAUCCAUGAAUGAGUGUAGAAAUGCACUUGUGACAUACUGCAUCAAGGUAGAACGUACUUUCAAAGUUGACAAGAGUGAUCAAGUACGUUACAGAGUGCACUGUCCGACUGAGGGUUGUCCAUGGAGGCUGCUCGCAUCUAAAAUGCGGAAUAGCACUAAUGUUCAGGUCAAAGUGAACCCUUUUAAGCACACAUGCUAG